GACGAACGCUGGCGGCGUGCUUAACACAUGCAAGUCGAACGCUGAAGCCUAGCUUGCUGGGUGGAUGAGUGGCGAACGGGUGAGUAACACGUGAGUAACCUGCCCCCUUCUUUGGGAUAACGCCCGGAAACGGGUGCUAAUACUGGAUAUUCACUGAUCUUCGCAUGGGGGUUGGUGGAAAGGUUUUUUCUGGUGGGGGAUGGGCUCGCGGCCUAUCAGCUUGUUGGUGGGGUGAUGGCCUACCAAGGCUUUGACGGGUAGCCGGCCUGAGAGGGUGACCGGUCACAUUGGGACUGAGAUACGGCCCAGACUCCUACGGGAGGCAGCAGUGGGGAAUAUUGCACAAUGGGCGGAAGCCUGAUGCAGCGACGCCGCGUGAGGGAUGGAGGCCUUCGGGUUGUAAACCUCUUUCGCUCAUGGUCAAGCCGCAACACUGGUUGUGGUGAGGGUAG
rnacentral:rRNA from 1 species